rnacentral:misc_RNA from 1 species
AAGUCGUAACAAGGUUUCCGUAGGUGAACCUGCGGAAGGAUCAUUAAAAAAAGAGGAGAUAGCACACAGUGCAAGAGAAGACCCUAUUAAUUAUAGUAUUAAAUAAUACAACAACUUUUAGCAACGGAUCUCUAGGUUCUCA